UCUGGUGACUAUAGAGAGAUGGCCCCACCCGUUCCCAUCCCGAACACGGCAGUGAAACAUCUGAUCGCCGAUGGUAGUGCAUCUAUAGGUUGUGCGAGAGUAGGUCGUUGCCAGUA
rnacentral:rRNA from 1 species